GUUUCAACCGAAUUUCUAGAAUUGGUCAUGGUUUGGCCUCUUGUUCCUCUCUAAAGGAGCUUAAUCUAGCUGGUAACAAGAUCAGUGAAGUAGAAGGCCUUCACAGACUCCUCAAGCUGUACUUUCUAGACCUGCGAUUCAACAAGAUCUCAACAUCAAAGGGACUCGGCCAAUUAGCUGCUAACACAUCCUUGCAAGCCAUUAACUUGGAAGGCAAUCCGGCUCAGAGAAAUGUGGGUGAUGAACAGCUGAAGAAAUACCUUCUGAGUCUAUUGCCCAGCUUGGUUUACUUCAACAAGCAGACCAUCAGAGCAAGCUCUUCAAAAGAAGUUGCCUCUCUUCAGUUUGAACGAGAGCUGAGAACAAGCCACAAGAACACACGAAGAACCCAUGGUUCUGGGCUACACAAGGGUUCAGCUGCAUCUAGCUCAAGUCAUGCUUUAGGCUCUCUACUGAAGCAUGCUUCUUCUAAGGGCAGGCAUGAGCACAGUGUCUCUGCAAGAACCAAACCUGCAAAUCAUCUGCGAAACAUAAACACCAAACCCCUGGGCUUGCAGCCAGCUGAUGUUAUUAGGAGGAUUCACAGUGAGGGAGGCUUUAAAGAACAUUAAUGAUGGAUGUGUGGAUAUUUUUCUCACCAUGCAUGCAACUGUCUGUGCAUAAUGCAAGAAUGGCUUGAAGGUGUUAUGUUUUUCUCAUAAACAAAAUCAGAUGAUCAGAUGUGAGAUGAUCAAAACCAGAGUGGAGAACUAUAUCUAUUUUAGGGCAUUCAAGUAUCUGACAUUUUGAAGA